AGCAGUAUCAGCAGUACCAGCAGUACCAGCAGUCCCAGCAGUACCAGCAGUACCAGCAGUACCAGCAGUCCCAGCAGUCCCAGCAGUCCCAGCAGGCCCAGCAGUACCAGCAGUACCAGCAGUCCCAGCAGGCCCAGCAGUCCCAGCAGUACCAGCAGUACCAGCAGUCCCAGCAGUAUCAGCAGUCCCAGCAGUACCAGCAGUUCCAGCAGCACCAGCAGUAUCAGCAGUCCCAGCAGUCCCAGCAGUCCCAGCAGUACCAGCGGUACCAGCAGCACCAGCAGUACCAGCAGUACCAGCAGUAUCAGCAGUACCAGCAGUAUCAGCAGCACCUUUCAGUGCAGGAGUUACGAAUGUGGCACAGUGAGUGCAGCAGGAGCUCCUUGGGCGCGUGCUACCCCUGAGCUCACCCUCCCAGGAAUCCUCCGAGGAAAAGGAAAGGGCUGAAGAGUAACAAAAUUCCACUUUCAAGCUGCUCAGAAGACACGGUGCGAACAAACAGCCCCCAGAAGGCGAGAUCCUGCAAUCUGCUGCCGAGAGGCGCCGGGGAUCGCGGCGUGCGAGGCGCGGGCAGGGAAGCACGAGCAAUCCCACAGAAGGUGUCCCUGAGAACGUCUGGAAAGCGUCGAGCUGCCUGCCACACUGCGUGAGGGGAAUGUCAGCCCCCACAGAAGGCACAGCAGCCGUGUCGUUAGCUCCAGGUUUACACACUUCACUUGACACCUCUCCCUUGUCCUACAGAUGUUGCGCUGCAUUUGGGAUGGAGCCUCCGACGAUACAGCUGUUUGAACACAUGUGCAUUUUCCACUCAGCAAACCGCAAGAAUAAGGCAGCAGGGUUACAACGUUUGGAUCCUAGGGCUAGAAUGAGAGAAGCAGUUUUCUGUUGCUGAAGCAGAAGCUGGAAGAUGAUCACAGAGGAAAGUGGAGACACUGAGGGAAAUCUCUAUCACACCUUGAGGGGUGUUCCUCUGCCAAGGAAGAGGAUUCUGCACUGAAAUCUCUAGACAUGAAUUAACUCUGGGAUUUCCUGGGCCUGACCAACUCCCAGGUUUGCACUGCUCCUGCAUUCCCCCGAGUUAGCCUAAGCAGCUCCAGAGAAGCCUGGCAAACCCUGUGGAUUAUACAAUAAAUGGCAUUUGUUUCCACA
ensembl:lncRNA